UAUACGCAGCUACUUUUUUUUUCCAAAACCCUAGAGCCUUCAUCUCCAUUUUCCUUCAUCUUUAAUCUCCUCAUUCUUCUCCUUCACGUUGCUUACAGAACGUCUUCCUGAUGUUCAUCUUCUCCUUCUAAUUCAACUCCUGUAAUCCAUCUGGUGGUUCACUCUAUCAACAAACCCUAAUGAAUCCACCCAUAAAUAAUAUGCCAAUCAAUCCGUUCUUUAAUUUCUUCACUCCUUUUUCAAACCCUAAAAACUCUGGUGGCACAUACCUGCACCAUGAUUCUUUCUAACCCUAACGAAGGCAAGAAACAGAUCCAACAAUGGAGAAGUACACUAUACGAUAGCAUUUCCGUGGCACUUCAACCGCCUCUUCCUCUCACUGUCAUGGUCGUCAUCUCUCCUAUAGACACCAUUGAAUCGAGGAUAAAUCACUAACAUCAGAAGAAACGGAAUUUGAUUUAAUCGUAUGUGGCUGAGGCCUGAGGAUUUGUUACGGCGGAGGUAGCGUGUUGUGGGCAUGAACAAUACAAUGAAAUUGGAGUAUCCAAAUCGGUUUGAAUUUGUGUCCAAGCAGAGAUAUAUACGCGUUCUGGGAUCCUUUUUGGGAGGCUCAUAGUGGUAAAAAUUCUUCAUCCACUAAAUGCAAAAGUAUUCCAACAUCAAGUGACCUUGUGCCCUCAAAUAAUUAUGUAAAAGUACCUACAUCGUUUUAAUAUGAUAAAUAUUUAGAGAUUAUGAUUAUUUGUAUAUAUACGUGAGUUAUAUUUGUAAUCUCACUUCAUUAUUACUUUAUUUAAUAUGAAACUUUUUUUUUAAUCUAUACAGUAAUGACCGGAAACACUUAAUGUCAAAAGAAUGGAUGUAGGCUUUACGUUUACAUUUCGGAUGGGUCACUUUGUUUGUCCGAAAUGUUUAAGAAAGAUGAUUUCAGGAUUAUGAUUAUAGUCAUUUUAACUAUCAUAAGAAAGUUUAUGUCAAACUAUUAUUUCUCUGCACCACCGUCCUCACUUACUUAACUCUUAGGAAGACAACCUUUAGAGGAACCGAGGUAACAGUUGCACGAAUGGCAUAUUUUCCUUUUUUAUUUUGAUCACUUUGUUUUAAAUAGAUGUGGUUUUUAAGUGGGAGUUAAUGUUUUUUUUCUAUAGACAUUGUUGUCGAAUUAGAUAUCUCAUCAUUGAAGAAAAGUUCAAGUGAACCUAUAUUCAAGCGACCGCGCGCGUCUCCAAACACCAUCGCCAUUACCGAAAUUUAAGAAGGGACUCGAUUUACUAAGAGAAAUGUUUUGGCAAUUCGAAGGAUAUGCAUUUUAAAGGGAUUCGACUGUCUUUAAUUGUAUUUCCACUUUGUCACUAAUUCAUGCAACAUACCACUUUGUAUUUUUUUUAUUUGCAUACUUAAUAUUUACCUAAUUAAUUUUUCCCAGCCCGGGAAGCAAUCCCGGGUGAUAA